rnacentral:lncRNA from 1 species
GCUUGUUUCUGCCCGCAUAGGGAGCCUUUCACUCUAGUGGUUGCUUCACGUGCACUCUACAGUGGCUAUCACGCUAGCCUGCCUGCUUAGUGAAGUUGAAUGAGAGCCAACUGAAAACUGACGAAUAAACGAAUAAUUUUUUUAUCUUCACGGUUGAACUGAACUUUGUGGCAAGGCUCAGGCAAGAACCCCCCCCAAAAAGGUGUUGGACUUGAUGGGGACCCUCAUUAGCCAAGAGACCAUGGCAAAUUGUUUAUUUAAAGGCAAGAAGGCCAAACCCAAACCCACUGGCUCCAGGUCAUCUACAAGUCUCUGUUAGGUAAAGCCCCACCUUAUCUCAGCUCACUGGUCACCUUCCCUUCCAGUUCUCUGCUGCCAAUGACUGGAACAAACUGCAAAAAUCACUGAAGCUGGAGACUCAUAUCUCCCGCACCAGCUGUCAGAUCACUGCACCUGUACAUAGCCCACCUGUAAACAGCCCAUCUAUCUACCUCAUCCCCAUACUGUAUUUAUUUCUUGCUCCUUUGCACCCCAGUAUCUCUACUUGCACAUUCAUCUUCUGCACAUCUACCAUUCCAGUGUUAAAUUGGUAUAUUGUAAUUACUUCGCCACCAUGGCCUAUUUAUUGCCUUAACUCCCUUAUCUUUCCUCAAUUGCACUCACUGUAUAUAGACUUUGUUUUAUUUUUUCUACUGUAUUGACUGUAUGUUUGGUUUAUUCCAUGUGUAACUCUGUGUUGUAUGUGUCGAACUGCUAUGCUUUUUCUUGGCCAGGUCGCAGUUGCAAAUGAGAACUUGUUCUCAACUAGCCUACCUGGUUAAAUAAAGGUUAAAUAAAUAAAUAGCUAGGUUUCCAUCCAAAUAGCGAACAUAUUUCCAAGCAAAUAUUCUAAAAUCCGCAUUAAAAACAAUAAGCGCAUUUACCAACCAUCAAAUUGAUUUGUUGGGGAUAAAAAGCUGUGCGUGAUGACGUAGUGCACAUGAAAAAUAACUUCUGGUUAAAUUCCCAUGUAUGGAAUAAUAAAAUAUGAGUUUCCAUCGCAUUUUUAACUCUAGGCUACUGAUUGUUUUGUCACCAAAAUAAAUAGCAUUAUAUAGUGAAUGUGCCCACUCUGGUCUUUGCACGUGUGCUCUAGCCAACAACUCAGAUACCAGGCUUUAAAUUGCGGGGCGUUGGAAAAAAAACUGUAAAAAUGUGUACUGUCAAAAAAAAAUUCCACCACCAUUUUCCGAUUUGAGGUUUCACACCCUUGGCUGAACGCUCUUAUCUGAAAAUGUGGGUGGUUAAAUUGUUUUAUUAAGAAAGUACAUUUUCUGAACUCUCCCCCUAUUGGUUUAUCAUUCAAAAGCAUCUAGGCCUGUAUGGCUUAAAUCUUUCAUGUUUUAGACCAAACAAUCUCCCCCAUUUGUCCUUUCCUAAAGCAAUGUGCUGCUCCUUGCCACAGACUAGGUGAAUCCUCUUAGCCAGCUCUGCUGUCUGUCAAGCACCAAAUGGUUCUCUGGGUUAUGGCAAAUUCUGGGAUGUAGUUCCAGCCAAUCCUGUCCACAUGUCCUUGAUAAAUGACAGUUGACCAUUAAAACAACCAUAGGCC